AUUGAACGCUGGCGGCAGGCCUAACACAUGCAAGUCGAGCGAGCGGCGGACGGGUGAGUAAUGUCUGGGAAACUGCCUGAUGGAUGGGGAUAACUACUGGAAACGGUAUCUAAUACCGCAUACCAUCAGAUUUGCCCAGGUGGCAUUAGCUAGUGGGUGGGGUAACUGCACACCUAGGCGACGAGCCCUAGCUGGUCUGAGAGGAUGACCAGCCACACUGGAACGGAGAAACGGUCCAGACUCCUACGGGAGGCAGCAGUAGGGAAUCUUGCGCAAUGGGAGAAAGCCUGAUGGAGCCAUGCCGCGUGUGUGAAGAAGGGCUUCGGAUUGUAAAGCACUUUCGGCGGGGAAGCGUUAUCUGAAGAGAAAGCAACGGCUAACUCCGUGCCAGCAGCCGCGGUAAUUC
rnacentral:rRNA from 1 species